GCCCGCAUGGCUCAGUGGUAGAGCGUCUCACUCGUAUGUGCAACUUUCUCUGAGAAAUCCGAGGAAGCGAUGAGAAGAUCCUUUGUUCGAUCCAGAGUGUGGGCA